rnacentral:tRNA from 1 species
GCCGACAUAGCUCAGUUGGUAGAGCAACUGAUUCGUAAUCAGUAGGUCGGAGGUUCGAUUCCUCUUGUCGGCA